CGUUUGGUUCAAGUCCCUCUAUCCCCA
rnacentral:tRNA from 1 species